rnacentral:rRNA from 1 species
AGCGGACGCUGGCGGCAGGCCUAACACAUGCAAGUCGAACGGAUCCUUCGGGAUUAGUGGCGGACGGGUGAGUAACACGUGGGAACGUGCCUUUUGGUUCGGAACAACUCAGGGAAACUUGAGCUAAUACCGAAUGUGCCCUUCGGGGGAAAGAUUUAUCGCCAUUAGAGCGGCCCGCGUCUGAUUAGCUAGUUGGUGGGGUAAAGGCUCACCAAGGCUACGAUCAGUAGCUGGUCUGAGAGGAUGAUCAGCCACAUUGGGACUGAGACACGGCCCAAACUCCUACGGGAGGCAGCAGUGGGGAAUCUUGCGCAAUGGGCGAAAGCCUGACGCAGCCAUGCCGCGUGAAUGAUGAAGGUCUUAGGAUUGUAAAAUUCUUUCACCGGGGACAUAAUGACGGUACCCGGAGAAGAACGCCCGGACUAACUUCGUG